GAUGAACGCUGGCGGCGUGCCUAAUACAUGCAAGUCGAGCGAACGGACGAGAAGCUUGCUUCUCUGAUGUUAGCGGCGGACGGGUGAGUAACACGUGGAUAACCUACCUAUAAGACUGGGAUAACUUCGGGAAACCGGAGCUAAUACCGGAUGAUAUUUUGAACCGCAUGGUUCAAAAGUGAAAGACGGUCUUGCUGUCACUUAUAGAUGGAUCCGCGCUGCAUUAGCUAGUUGGUAAGGUAACGGCUUACCAAGGCAACGAUGCAUAGCCGACCUGAGAGGGUGAUCGGCCACACUGGAACUGAGACACGGUCCAGACUCCUACGGGAGGCAGCAGUAGGGAAUCUUCCGCAAAGGGCGAAAGCCUGACGGAGCAACGCCGCGUGAGUGAUGAAGGUCUUCGGAUCGUAAAACUCUGUUAUUAGGGAAGAGCAUAUGUGUAAGUAACUGUGCACAUCUUGACGGUACCUAAUCAGAAAGCCACGGCUAACUACGUG
rnacentral:rRNA from 1 species